rnacentral:rRNA from 1 species
UACGUAGGGUCCGAGCGUUGUCCGGAAUUACUGGGCGUAAAGCGCGCGCAGGCGGCCCGCGAGGUGUCACGUGAAAGCCCCGGGCUCAACCCGGGAGGGUCGUGGCAAACCGGCGGGCUUGAGGCCGGUAGAGGUGGGUGGAACUCCUGGUGGAGUGGUGAAAUGCGUAGAUAUGACAUAGAACAUCGAUUGCGAAGGCAGCUCGCUACACUAUGAUUGACACUGAGGCACGAAAGCGUGGGGAUCAAACAGG